rnacentral:misc_RNA from 1 species
AAAAAACAAAUGUUGUUAUGCAAAUCAUUAAUUUCAAUUAUAGAAUUCAAAAGAAAAAAAACAAAAAUUACAUAAUUUGAGAAUCUACAAAGUUCCAAUGAGAUAUCCCAGAAAAAGUUUUUGUUCAAUCACGAAAUAAAAGAUAAAUCUUCAAUCGCAUCUCGUUUCUUGUUUCAAAUGAAUAUGCAGCGAUCGGAUAAACAUUAAAUGGACCUUGACCCAAAGAUUUUGAUGCAAUAUUAUAGAGACCCCAGAAGUAAAUGAGAACUCAAAUUCCAUGGAAAAUGAUGUCAUUUUGUUGAGACUUGAACCAAGAAAUUUGAAGAGAUCCUUG